rnacentral:rRNA from 1 species
CCGGGAAACCGGAGCUAAUACCGGAUACUCCGUCCGAACCACAUGGCUCGGCCGGGAAAGGUCCGCCGGUGAGGGAUGGGCCCGCGGCCUAUCAGCUUGUUGGUGGGGUAACGGCCCACCAAGGCGACGACGGGUAGCUGGUCUGAGAGGACGACCAGCCACACUGGGACUGAGAUACGGCCCAGACUCCUACGGGAGGCAGCAGUGGGGAAUCUUGCGCAAUGGGCGAAAGCCUGACGCAGCGACGCCGCGUGGGGGAUGAAGGCCCUCGGGUUGUAAACCCCUUUCGGCAGGGACGAAGCGAUCGUGACGGUACCUGCAGAAGAAGCCUCGGCUAACUACGUGCCAGCAGCCGCGGUAACACGUGGGAGGCGAGCGUUGUCCGGAUUCAUUGGGCGUAAAGAGCGCGCAGGCGGUUUGGCAAGUCGGAUGUGAAAUCCCGAGGCUCAACCUCGGGACUGCAUCCGAUACUGCCCGACUAGAGGUAGGUAGGGGAGAUCGGAAUUCCUGGUGUAGCGGUGAAAUGCGCAGAUAUCAGGAGGAACACCGGUGGCGAAGGCGGAUCUCUGGGCCUUACCUGACGCUCAGGCGCGAAAGCUAGGGGAGCGAACUGGAUUAGAUACCCAGGUAGUCCUAGCCGUAAACGUUGGGUGCUAGGUGUGGGCGGACAUCGACCCCGUCCGUGCCGAAGCUAACGCAUUAAGCACCCCGCCUGGGGGAGUACGGCCGCAAGGCUAAAACUCAAAGGAAUUGACGGGGCCCCGCACAAGCGGCGGAGCAUGUUGCUUAAUUCGAUGCGACGCGAAGAACCUUACCUGGGCUUGACAUGCAGGGGGAAACCCCGUGAAAGCGGGCGCUCUUUCGGAGCCUGCACAGG